ACAGAUCCAAUUCAAAUAACCAUAACCAAAACAAAUAUAUAACUAAAAUGCAAUAGAAGAACCGCUAAGUUUAAUACAAGAAUUGCUUCUAACCUUAAGACAUUUAGCUAAAUUUAACAAAGUUAUAAAGCAAACAGUCCGAGAAGAAACUAAAUUUAUUAGAAUAGUUUCUAGCCUCUUAAUGCACUUAACUAAAUUCAACAAAAAAAAAUACAGCAAACACCCUAAGAGGAAACUGUUCACUAAAUUUAAUAGAAGAACCGCUUCUAGCCUAUUAAGAUACUUAACCUAAGGGAAAGGAUUGUAUGAAACAGUGACGUCACGUCCUUUGUAUCUCUUUUUCAAUAGUUUUAGGUCACAUCAAUAUUUUCAUCUUGAAAAAAAUCAAAUCCAAAUUAAAAUUCUGAAAUUCAAGAUAAGAAUACUAAUAUGACAUAAAAUUACAAAGUUACAAAGCAAACACCCAAAAUUAAUGUAAUAGGGCCCAAUUGACCCAAGUCCAAAUAAAAUUAACAGUCCAACAAAUACAGGCCUGCACAAGCCCAAUACACCAAAAACAAAAAAGGAAAGGAGAACCCUAGCCCCGAAUGCACCCAGCAGCCGCAUGUCUGCCCAACUCCGCCUCCAGCAGUUCCCAGGCGCCGCACGUCUCGGAAUCGACCACCCCAUGCGCGCCGUUUGCUCCACGUUCACCUGCCAAUGCGGACUCAAAGAGUCCGAAGAGAAAAAAACAAGCAAAAUAAUUGUAUUUUUAUUUCUUUUUUCGGCCUAUAAAAGGGUCUUCUAUAAUCUGUAACGGGGGAGGGGGCAUUCGAAAAGAGACAGAAACAGAAGGUAUUCAUCAUUUUUUUUUAGAUUCGAUCUUUUUUUUUUGUUUUUAUUUUAUUUAUUUUUCGCUUAAAAUAUAAAAGCUAGGAGGAUCAUACCGGGCUUUGUCGCGGUUCAUCCCAUCUCCGUAGCGAUCGGAGACGGGGGUGACUGAGGCCGUGGAUCGGCCUGAGACGACGGCGGCGGCUGAGAGAAGGGUACAAAACCCUAGCAGACAAACAACGGCUUUUUUUUUAAAUUUUAUAAAACUGCAAAUGUUUUUAAAAAAAAAAAGGGAAAAACUGUUUUAAAACUAAAGAGUAAAACGGC
rnacentral:lncRNA from 1 species